CUGGAGCCAGGAUCCACCCCUUACAGACCUCAUUUAAGGGUUGGCAGGGCAGGUGAGGGUUUUUUGCUGGAGAUCCGUGUCAACUUGAAGCCUUCCAAAGGUAUCAGAUUCCCUAAAGAAAAACACACGUUUCAGGACAAGGCUUAUUCUAGGGCGAGGAGCAAUACUCAACCUUCCUGGUCCUGAAGGAGUUCCAGAGGACAAGAAAUUUCUUGGUUGCAACCAAAUGUCCAGUUCCUUUAAGGGACCUGGAGUUUAUUGAAAUCAGGAAGGAGCUAUUUUUUUCUUUCUGGACAACCCACAUGAGGAACGUCUGACCUUAAGCAGGCUGAUUUGGGACUGUGAUGUGCUGAUGGAUAUCUGCCAUUGAACUUUCGUUCAAGUGCAAGGACAAGCCUGAAAGUGCUGCGCAGACUGUCCUGAAAUGCCAGCUGUCUGUCAGUGUCAUCCAUUGAGGGCAGAUCAAGGUUCAUUCUGACAGACAUCUAUGGCUUAAAAGUGUGCUGACACAAGGUAUUGGGAGCAUCUACUCAGCAAGUAGGUGGGGGAGAAAGUGUCAACAGUUUUCUGCACUGAGACCUCAGUUGCAUCUACUGAUUGCUGAGAUUUUCAGCCCAGCAGCCCUGGUCAUCUGGGAAAUGUCUUCCUGUUGUACGGAGGAACUCUUCAGUGUUAGCUGCAAACAGCAGUCAUGCGACAAUCUGCUCAAAGGACAGUGCCAUCAGCAGGGAAUUAAAUAGUUGUGGUCAUCUGUGUUCUGGUUCUGGACACCAUGUGUUUAGUAAUCCCCACUUAUGUUUGUAUUGAUAUAACGGUGAACUUGUUUGCACUGAAAACCUCUGUGUGAUUUCUCAGCUUAUUUCAACUGAGUCAUCCUUUCUGCCAACCACAUCUCCAAGAAUACAUUUCUGUGAGGUGCUUUGGCUUGAAAAGGAGAAAUAAAUUGGAAAAUCUCAAGGACUGAAUGUAGAAGAAAAAUGAGUAAUGAACUUCUUUCUUAUAGCUGAUUUAUUUUUUUUUUUUAUUUUUUUUAUUUUUUUUUCUUGCAUUGCUGGGGAAUUCCCUCAGCAACAGUGUUCAUGGCUCUAAAUAGAAGUGGCAAAACCAAUGACUUUACAUCUGCCAGCAUUUGUUCUUUUCUCAGCAGUCAAUAUCUCUGUUCUUGAAUUAUAAAGAUUAUACGUAACAACCAUAGGAACAAAAUAGUUAAGGCUGGAAGAGACCUCGGGAAUCUCUACAUAUGUCUUAAGAUCUUCUAAAAGUAACAGAUAAAAGUAAUUGUAAUUUCUAAAUCUGGCCAUUUAUUUAGUAGUAAGGUGACUAGAAAACAAGACUGUGAUAGAAGCCUUAGGUCAGAAGCCCCCUUUCCAGGAAAGAGAGAAAAAGUAAGUUAGCAUGGCAGCCUAAGAACUGGAAACAGUGUUAAGAAAGGAAGAGAACAAUUGAAAAACAAAAAAGGUUUUAAGGAUCUUCUUCCACCUAAGAAGAGAUAAGAUACAGGGAAAAUGGACUAUUUGUUCUUUGAUAUUUCUCUAAUAAUACAUUACAUCUUCCCAUGAACAGUCCCUUUCCUGUGUCCUGGGAUAACAGUAUCACAGUACUACUCCCUUAAAGGCAGGGUUUUUAAAUACAAAAGCUAGGUAGUGCUUGGGUUACAGAGGAAGGCUGGCAGCCUUACUCAGUAGCAGCAUGCUAUUGCUGCUCAUUCAAAACAGUCCUGAAGCUGGUUUCCUUUCAGAUUUUGCUGUCUCUGCUUUCUCAGCCUUCUCCCCAACAAUACUCCAAGCCCCACCAGUGAGAGCAGUUCUGCAGCUGCUCUUAAUGUAUGCACAUGUUAAUUGGUAGCUGAUGUCUGCCAAAUAAGCUCUAAGGACUGAAGCACUCCUGUCUUGCCCUCAACUGGGGCACAGAGCUUUUCAUUUAUGGGUGUUCACAAAAUCCAAGGAACAGCAGGGGCUAGGCAGAGAUGACAGAUGAGUGGUUCAGUAAGCUUUGUUUCUAGAGGGCACCCGAGUAAAAAAGUUUUCGAGAACACCAUUUUCUCCUAAAAUGUCAGUGUCAGCACUGGAUCACUUUUGCUGUACAAAAUCCGUAUUCCCCACCAAUAUGGUGUUUGAUGGGAAACUGGAACAGUUCCCACUGUGGUGAAUCAAAACAAGUUUCAGUGGUCAGACUGGUUUUGAAUAACAAUCUUUUUUCUAACGGUUGUUUCAUUUAGCUCCUUUACUUCAUAAUCAGCUGUUGGGGACCCAAGUAUUACCUGAGGGAGCAGGCAAGUAACUGCUGUGAUAUACUGUUGCUAAUACGCACAGUUCAUCUGUGAAUAUUGAUCUGGGAUCAUAACUGUUUAUGUUGAGCACUGUGGCAAAUGCAACAGGAGGGUCUGAGCUCUGAUAAUUAGCCAUUUGGUUAAGUUUCCCUACCUUCACAUCUCUCUAUGUGAGUUUGCAGUUAGUAAGGAGGAAAUUCUUCUGAUCUUAAUGGGUGUGCAGCAGCUUCCAGAGUACAGCGAAAGCCAGGCAGGGGAGUCCAGCAGCAAGAAAGUCUGCAGCACAGUGGAGACUGCUGAGAAGUGGGGAUAGGCAAGCUGACAAAGAGACUUCCUGGUGCUUAGAAGACUGUACAGUCUGACAAAAUCCUGAAAGUGAGUGUGUUGGAUUUAAAUUGAGCCCAAAAAGGAUUUAUCCACCACCAGUGCUCCAAGACCUUCAUUUACAAGUGCUCUUAGUUUUAUUGCUUGUUCCUCAUUCUAGUAGUUUGCUUUUGAAAGCCUUUUGAGCACUUUUAGAUGAUUCAGAAUUAUUUGGUGAUGGGAUUUUGUGAGAGUAAUUUUCAUAUAUCUCCUUGUGCAUCUUCUCAAAAUAGUUUGGUGCAAGUAUUCUUCAAAUAAACUUUUUUAGCACCCCUGAAAACCCAGUCUUCUAACAAUUAGGCUUGGGACCUGCUGUCUGCAGAGCAGCAUCGUCCACUGAAGUGAUAAGUACGCUUCUGCUGAGGUCACACAAAGCGUACUUUUGAAUUAAGGUACUGAUUGUUUUCUCCAUUGGAUGGGAAUUAUAUUUUGAUCUCCUCAUGUGAUGCUUGGCAUUAUCACAUUUUAUUAAUAAUCCUGCCUUAUUAUAGUGUCACAGUAACAGUUUGGACCUCUAGUUUUUUAGUCUAUUUGGUUAUUUUUUUCCUUUAUCGCUUUUAAAGUCACUUUUAAUGAUAGAAUUGCAGACACAUAUCAAAACCAUCCAAGUAGGACAAGUAUCUGAAGAUUAAAAACAGGUUUAUAUAAACAGUUUCAUGAAUUGCCAUGUUCUCAAUAACUUUAUAUUUUCAAAUGGGUAUUUGGGAAACUUUAAUGCUGUGUAUGUGGCUGUACUAUGUUACUAAUUCCUUUGGGAUGGCUAAUACAGCCUCAGAAAGUUCAAAGAAGGAACUCCUUAUCUCAAAUGAGCAAUAAAUUCCAACCUACCCCAAUAAAAGCUGCUGGUCAAAUACCAUAAUUACAACAAUGACGAGUAACUGAUGCUUAGUCAUCUCCAUUUUAUAUUGUUUCAUCCAUAAAGGAUAGGAAACAGCUCCAUUCAACUGUCUUAUUUUAAGAGUGCUUGAUCAGCAAAAUUAUAUAGUCAAAUGCAAGUACAAAUUGUUGGGAGGGACUGUAAAGACAGCUCACUUUUUGAGAAAAGCUUUUGUUUUUACUGUGCUGGGGCCCAUUUAGAUUCAAUUUACAUUCUGUUUCCUUCACAUUUUAUGGAGCUUUUACUUCCAUGGCUUUAAACAGCAUCUCUGUCAAAAUCUACAUCAUGGAGUUAGGCCUGUAGAGGCAUUUCAUGGUGUCUUCCCCUGGAUAUCUAUAAAAAGAGGAGAAUAGCCAUAGUAUAACCUCAGACCAGCCAGACAGCAUUCUGUUGUUAAAGCAGUCAUGCCACUGUACAUAAAGGGAUCCAGCGUUUUCCUCAAAGCUGUAUGUCAAAAGAGAAGACUUCCCUCCUCUUUCCAUUGGUUGUUCUCUAUUUUAAAGGGCCUCGAGAUUAAAGAAGAUUUAGUUAGGUAUUUAUCUGUGAACUCUAUUACUUGACUUCUAAAGACAUGAACAAUUUCCUAGCUGCGGCCUGUUUAAUAAAUAAUGUAUUUUUGUAGGCAAAAUACUAAUAACUGAGAAGACAGAAAAAGGCCCUGAUCUCUUGCAGUGAGAUAAAUUUUAAGUUUUCUUUUAGGUUUUGUAAUGUAACUUUGCCUGUAAAUGAUGAGUAGUGUAAAAUAAAAACGUGAUCAAGCAUAAAGUAUGGAAAGAAUUCAGUGGAGACACAAAGUUUGCCUGCGUCGAGAUGGUGAAAGAAAUUAAUUACUUGGUCUGCUAUAUCUCAUUUGGCUGACUGUUGUUCUUAGGCAUAGGAUCGAACUGAUAAUUGAGGCUUUGCUGCUUUGCAGUUGUGCAGCUUUAAACCAGUCGGCAAGCAAAUACUGACUGCCUUCAAGUGAUGCGAUUACAUCCAGUGAAUUUAUUUACUUAUUGUCUCUGUUCUCUUGUACAGUAGCUACUGCUCCAAAUUGGAAGGGUUGAUGCAUUUAAAUGGAAAAUCUUUCUAGCGAGAGCUGUCUAACCUAGGCCUCAAGAGGACUAGCCGAGGCAAG